ACGGGUCCCACAGGUGCUAGGGAUGAGCCACCUGGGUGCUUGCUGGGAAUAUCCUGGCCAUGGCCCUGGUACAGCACGCAGGUCAGCAUGUGCUUCUACCCUCCUUCCCUGCCCUGGGUCUAGGGUGACCAUCCAGGCCUGGCUCAGCAGGUCCCCUUCUAAGCUCACAGUACAGCAAUAUUUCAAGAGAAGUCCAAGGUCCCUCCGAGAAUGGAGUGAUAUUUCAAAAAUACUUGCUGAUGUUUGGACAGAGCGAAUCACAAACCACGCAUGUGCAGCUGUCUGAACAACACCAGGACGCCCACUGUCAGCCAACCUUUCAGACCUGCUUGUGCUAGAUGAGAAGGAGUGGCCUCACUGUGAAGGAGUCACCUGGAAAUAAGACUCAGGAUGGAAUCCAGACCGUUAGAAAUAAGUUUUUGCAAGUGGAAGAAUGCUACUCUGUCAGCUACAUGACCUUGCUGGACCCCACAGCCCUUGGGACUUGAAAGAGCCUGGAUCUUCCAGCCCUGCCCCUCUUUCAGAGACCCUCACAGAACAGAACUCAGCUAAAAGCCCACUUUACCAUCACAGUGUAAGAAAAGAUAACGGUUCUGCCUAACCAUGGUCUCCACACAGCAGGCUUCAUCGAAGCCUUCCUCAUCUCCCUCCUCCUGACCUUAGCAGCCCUGUUCUUCUUGACACUGGGUCGGUGUCUGCAGGGAAGAAUACUGUCUAGAUGCCAGGUGA
rnacentral:lncRNA from 1 species